AACGAACGUUGGCGGCGUGGAUUAGGCAUGCAAGUCGUACGAAUCCCCCGCAAGGGGGGGAAGUGGCGAAAGGGGCAGUAAGGCAUGGGUAACCUACCUGGAAGUCGGGGAUAGCCUUGGGAGACCUUGGGUAAUACCCGGCGUGCUGUUUGGGGGGCAUUCCCCGGACAGGGAAGCCGAGAGGUGCUUCGAGAGGGGCCCAUGUGGUAUUAGCUAGUUGGUGGGGUAAUGGCCCACCAAGGCGAAGAUGCCUAGCGGGUGUGAGAGCACGACCCGCGCCAUUGGCACUGAGACACUGGCCAGACACCUACGGGUGGCUGCAGUCGAGGAUCUUCGGCAAUGGGCGAAAGCCUGACCGAGCGACGCCGCGUGGAUGAUGAAGGCCUUCGGGUUGUAAAGUCCAAAGGGGAGGAGAAAGCCGCAAGGCCGAUCGAGUCCCAGUAAGCACGGGCUAAAUUCGUGCCAGCAGCCGCAGUAACAC
rnacentral:rRNA from 1 species